GCUUGCCCAGCUUGAUUGCAGAGCCAUCUUCUGGUUGCAAAUAACAAUUUCAUACUUGCUAAAAAUACUACUGCAAUUUUGAAACUAUGAGAGCAAGAGAUUGAUGCCCAUCCCAGAACAUCAGAGAUCCAGUGGCUGUGGCUCACUGUGGCUGAGAGGAAGACACGAGCCCCUCACACCGACAGUUUAAGCUGUGCCUUCCACGUUCCAGAUAACUGCUCUAAUCACAGACCACCUCAUUUAUCUUGGAGUUAUUCCAGGCUCUGUAAGCAAUUUCAUUCCCAUUAGAGCGAUGAUGUGAAUGUCCAUCUGCCACCUACAAGUCAGAUUUUUUUUCUCUCAUUUUUACUCGGAGGAUUGGAGAAACAGAAUCAGAGUGGAUGACUCAAUGAGAAUCUAUGUGACGGAUGAGUAAAUUAGACAGAAUAAUUUGUCAGGACAGAGAUUUAUAAAAUAUCACAUCUUCCAGGGAAUGAUAUACAAAUUAUUCUAAGUUAUAGUGGCCUGAGAAAAUAUACUUCAUGAGUUUUCCUCUGAUGUGAUUUGUGGUGCGAUGUGAUUUGAAAAGAAAAUAA